rnacentral:rRNA from 1 species
AGUACGAGAGGACCGGGAUGGACAUACCUCUGGUGUACCAGUUGUCGUGCCAACGGCAUAGCUGGGUAGCUAUGUAUGGACGGGAUAAGUGCUGAAAGCAUCUAAGCAUGAAGCCCCCCCUCAAGAUGAGAUUUCCCAACUUCGGUUAUAAGAUCCCUCGAAGAUGACGAGGUUAAUAGGUUCGAGGUGGAAGCGUGGUGACACGUGGAGCUGACGAAUACUAAUCGAUCGAAGACUUAAUCAA